rnacentral:rRNA from 1 species
UAAUACGGAGGGUGCAAGCGUUAAUCGGAAUUACUGGGCGUAAAGCGCACGCAGGCGGUUUGUUAAGUCAGAUGUGAAAUCCCUGGGCUCAACCUGGGAACUGCAUUUGAAACUGGCAAGCUAGAGUCUCGUAGAGGGGGGUAGAAUUCCAGGUGUAGCGGUGAAAUGCGUAGAGAUCUGGAGGAAUACCGGUGGCGAAGGCGGCCCCCUGGACGAAGACUGACGCUCAGGUGCGAAAGCGUGGGGAGCAAACAGGAUUAGAUACCCUGGUAGUCCACGCUGUAAACGAUGUCGAUUUGGAGGUUGUGCCCUUGAGGCGUGGCUUCCGGAGCUAACGCGUUAAAUCGACCGCCUGGGGAGUACGGCCGCAAGGUUA